rnacentral:lncRNA from 1 species
GUCUCUGAGUGGAACACAAUGGAACUGGUUUGGCAAUUGUUGGGAAAAACUACAAAGUGGAUUCAGCAGCUGCUACAAGAAGGACCUGCUACUGUCUGGGUAAAGGAGUGUUGCCAGAGUGACCCUUACAGGAAUAGGAAGCAAAAAGAAGAGUCCCAGCUGGGCGCGGUGGGUGAGUUUAGGUGAGAAUAUGCUGGAUUUCAACAGAAAUAGAAAAUAGAGAAAGAACAAAGAUCAUAGGUCUUUCAGGGUUGGAAAAGCUGACUGCUUCUGGACAACAAAUAGUACAAAGUAAGAUAGAAAAGGUUUUAGGGCAGGGCGCGGUGGCUCCUGCCUGUAAUCCCAGCACUUUAGAAAGCCGAGGCAGAAGAUCACUUGAGCCCAGGAGUUCAAGACCAGCCUGGGCAACAUAGAGAAGUCCUGUCUCUACAAAAAAAAUCAAAAAUAAAAAUUAGCCAGGCAUGUUGGAGCAUACCUAUACUCCUAGCUACUUGGGAGGCUGAGGCAAGAAGAUCACCUGAGCCCAGGGAGGUGGAGGCUGCAGUGAGCUGUGACUGUACCACUGCACUCCAGCCUGGGCAACAGAGUGAGACCCUGGCUCAAAAAAAAAAAAUAAAUAAAUAAAUAGAAAAGGUCUUGAACAACAUGAAUUUAAAUAUGCAAUCUUUUUUUUUUUUUUUUAAAAACCACUGUCUGGCUCUGUUGCCCAGGCUGGAGUGCAGUGGCGCAAUCUCAGUUCACUGCAACCU